GACGAACGCUGGCGGCGUGCUUAACACAUGCAAGUCGAACGGAAAGGCCCUGCUUGCAGGGUCCUCGAGUGGCGAACGGGUGGGUAACACGGGGGUGCACUGCCCUGCACUUCGGGAUAAGCGUGGGAAACUGGGACUAAUAGCUGAUAGGACCCAUCUUUUGUGUGGGGGUUGGAAAGUUUUUUCGGUGUGGGAUGAGCUCGCGGCCUAUCGGCUUGUUGGUGGGGUAAUGGCCUACCAAGGCGGCGACGGGUAGCCGGCCUGAGAGGGUGUACGGCCACAUUGGGACUGAGGUACGGCCCAGACGCCUACGGGAGGCAGCAGUGGGGAAUAUUGCACAAUGGGCGCAAGCCUGAUGCAGCGACGCCGCGUGGGGGAUGAAGGCCUUCGGGUUGUAAACUCCUUUCGCUAGGGACGAAGCUUUUUGUGACGGUACCUAGAUAAGAAGCACCGGCUAACUACGUG
rnacentral:rRNA from 1 species